rnacentral:tRNA from 1 species
AUUUAUAUAAUAUAAUUAAUUAUAUUUGACUUCCAAUCAAAAAAUCUAAUCUUUAGUAUAAAUA